GGGGGAGGAAGGGAGGGCGGGGUUGUAGGUUAGUGCUCUGGCUGUGAGGAAGUGGAACUUGUUACCCAAGGACUUCCCUUUUAGAAUGUUUGCUUUCCUACCAGGAAGAGUGGCUUGGCUCUCUGCUGAGGCUCUCAGAGGUUCUCCCAGCCUUGGGAACGCUGAGUAAAACCAGUCAGCACAACGUCCCCCUGUGGAGACUGGUAUUACCUUGCGUCUAUGUGUGGCGACAGUGGGCAUCCUUUGGCCUGCGCAGCGCAGGGCCGCUCCCCUCCUUUCCUCCUGUCCUCCCUUCUUCCCUAACCUCUCUCUCUCUCUCUCUCUCUCUCUCUCUCUCUCUCUCUCGGAGGACAGAGUCUGCUCCCUUAAAUUCUACUGGGGCCUUUUUCAGGCCUCCAUCCCUGGGAUUUGCCGGUAGAAGAAAGGGAACCAGCGUUGACUGAGCUCCUACUAUGUGCACUUCCUGGGCCUGGCACUGGGAUCACAGGAUGAAUGAAUAAGGCAUAUUUCCUGCCCUGAGGAGGUGUCCAUAGGGGAAGUCGGAAUUAAGCCACCUCCAGAAUUCUGAGGUCAAGGGAACGUCAACAGAACUGUGAACAAAAUGCCCAAAGCCAUGAAAAUCGACAGAGACUUGAAGGGGAGGAAUGGGGCCAGGCUGAGGUCAGGAUGGUAGAGGAGGUGGUGGAGGUGAUGAGGUACCAGAGCAACCUCGAAGAAAGGUGAGAAGCAGGGGACCACCAAAGGCAAACCUGGAACACCUGGUGACUCCGGCUAACUCUCCAUGUGGUGUCCAAGAGGACUUUUCUGAUACUGCUACCACUGCUAAUAGUAAUAAAAGUUACUAUUUAAUGUGUUUACUAUGUGUUGGGUGCGCAAAUAUUGUGGAAAGAGUGAACAUAUGUGCAGAAUGCUUAAUAAACGUGAUCUCUUUUUAUCUUCAAAA